GAGGUUUAGUUCAGAGUGACCUAACCUUAGCGGAAGUUUUGAUUGUGACCUCUACUUGAGCUAGAUCUAGAUGUAAGAGUAGAUAACCAUAGGAUAAGGCCUCCUAAGCACUCAAAAUUUUGGAACAUAGACUCUAGUCUAUGGAUCAAGUCAACCCUAGUGUGAAAAGAUUUUUGAGACGUAACUUUGUUUCAUUAGCAGUCCCAGCAAUUGUUGCUAUCAGCAUUUAUCUGGACUUGAGAAGGACACAUAAACAAAAGACAGAUUGAGAAUUAUGGUGCUGAGGAAGCUGCAACCUUCUCACUACAAAAUAUUGGCCAUGGGUGUGAUACCCUUGUUUGGGUUUUGGGCUGGUGCCUACCAGCAGUUCCUGUGGGAUCAACACUGUGCCACAUACAGAAACAAAAGCAAGUUGUUUGGGGGCAGACAGACUCAAGAUGGCCAGGAAGUUUGGUACUAGGCUCCUCUGCUCCUCCUUUGAUUUUCUUAAUUAAACCAUAGUUAGAAUUAGUCCUGAUCUUGUCUUAAUGCUUUCCUAGGAGUGGUAGCUUGAUCUAUGCAGAGAGCGUGUUUUGGGAAUGGUCAGUUGAGGCAUGUGUUGGGAAUGGUCAGUUGAGAAUGGUAGACAAACUAAGCAAUACAUCACAAACAGAAUGGUAGACAAAUUAAGCAACACAUCACAAACACAAUGGUAGUAGGUAUUCUAAAUGAGCCGAAAAAUUUAAGCCGGUUUUAAAAUUUUUUGGUCGCGUUGCGGCAUCGCGCGGCGGUCCGACCCCAUAAUACAUACGCAAUUAGAAACCACUGAUUUAGAAAGAAGAAUGGUAGCUCUGUAAGAUGGUAUAACUUUGCCAGCUGUAUAAUAUAAUUAAAUGCUAAAAAUGUUCAAUUUAAAAUUUUAAAAUGAUUUUUUUCCAUGAAAAAAUAAUUUUACAGCCGCCAAAGUUGUAUAUUCCGAAAGGGCAUCCAAUUUGCCAUAAAACUGUUACGAUUUAAUGAACACUCCAUGUAUGGGGUCGGACCGCAGUAAAUGAAACCAAUGUAUACAAAUCGCGACGACCCGCAUCUAAAUUUCGCCGGCUCGAGUCAAGAUUGUGUUGAAUUCCGGAACACCCGACCUCGGUUCAGAGCAAGAUUUUGUGUUCAUUCGUUGAUUACAGUGGAUUUAAAAACACGUGCAGAGCAAGAUAUUAGCAUGAAAGAAAGGGGAAACUCAUUGGCCUACCAAAAAUUUUGUAUUGUUGUGAAAGCAACAACAGGACUCCUGAAUACUUUUGAAGGAAACCAUAUGUCAAAUACAUUUUCUAUACUCUGGACCAAUGGAAGGAUCCCUUACUAGAUUCCAUAAUUUGAUCUGUAACCUUGAAGAAGACACUCAACCAGGAUAUUGACUAUUAAUUACAAUGCUACCCAACCUCAUAGAGAAAUUUCCCAAUCAGGAUAUUGACCUGUCUUUUUGAACCUGCUCUAAGAUUUCUGAUAAUUGUAUAAGUUAGGACCUAGACAUUUCCAGAAGUUGACUUUGAUCAAUAACUAACUAGAAGAAAUAAAUAUACUAGUAACAAGUAAAUUUAUGCUAAACAAGUCAUGAUUAGGAACCAGAGUAACAAAACUAGAUGAACAUCACAACUCUAUUAGGGUAAUUUAAAAAGAAUUUCAGUUUAAUUAGUUAUCUUACUUCGUCAGUUUUUAAAAUGCAUGGAAUUUCUUCUUAUUAUAGUAUAUAAGUAAAGAAGUAGUAUAGUUAUUUAGUUUUUUAUAACAAAGUAAUGCUAACAUGUUUCCUACACAAUUUAUAUUACUUUCUUAAAAGUAAGAACACUUUUUGCAAGAUGUUAGGUAAUGAAAAUUCUUGAUUUUGGGCGUUGAGGAAGGAUGCCUUGUAUUGUUUUGCAGAAUGAUUAUUUUAUGUCUCUGUGUUUAUUAUAUAUUAAGAAC